rnacentral:rRNA from 1 species
CUACGGGGUGCACCAGUGAGGAAUAUUGCACAAUGGGGGGAACCCUGAUGCAGCAACGCCGCGUGGAGGAUGACGCAUUUCGGUGUGUAAACUCCUUUUAUAUGUCAAGAAAAUGACGGUAGCAUAUGCAUAAGCACCGGCUAACUCCGUGCCAGCAGCCGCGGUAAUACGGAGGGUGCAAGCGUUACUCGGAAUCACUGGGCGUAAAGGACGCGUAGGCGGGUUGGAAAGUCAGGUGUGAAAUCCUACAGCUUAACUGUAGAACUGCACUUGAAACUUCUAAUCUAGAGUAUGGGAGGGGGAGAUGGAAUUAGUGGUGUAGGGGAAAAAUCCGUAGAUAUCACUAGGAAUACCUAAAGCGAAGGCGAUCUCCUGGAACAUUACUGACGCUAAGGCGUGAAAGCGUGGGGAGCAAACAGGAUUAGAUACCCCAGUAGUC